CCUACGGGUGGCAGCAGUGGGGAAUAUUGCACAAUGGGGGAAACCCUGAUGCAGCGACGCCGCGUGAGUGAAGAAGUAAUUCGUUAUGUAAAGCUCUAUCAGCAGGGAAGAAAAUGACGGUACCUGAGUAAGAAGCCCCGGCUAACUACGUGCCAGCAGCCGCGGUAAUACGUAGGGGGCAAGCGUUAUCCGGAUUUACUGGGUGUAAAGGGAGCGUAGACGGCAGUGCAAGUCUGGAGUGAAAGGCGUGGGCUCAACCCCCAGACUGCUCUUGAAACUGUACGGCUGGAGUGCAGGUGAGGUAAGUGGAAUUCCUAGUGUAGCGGUGAAAUGCGUAGAUAUUAGGAGGAACACCAGUGGCGAAGGCGGCUUACUGGACUGUAACUGACGUUGAGGCUCGAAAGCGUGGGGAUCAAACAGGAUUAGAUACCCCUGUAGUC
rnacentral:rRNA from 1 species